rnacentral:rRNA from 1 species
UAGGGAAUCUUCCACAAUGGACGCAAGUCUGAUGGAGCAACGCCGCGUGAGUGAAGAAGGCUUUCGGGUCGUAAAACUCUGUUAUUGAAGAAGAACGUGCGUGACAGUAACUGGUCAUGCAGUGACGGUAUUCAAUCAGAAAGUCACGGCUAACUACGUGCCAGCAGCCGCGGUAAUACGUAGGUGGCAAGCGUUGUCCGGAUUUAUUGGGCGUAAAGCGAGUGCAGGCGGUCUUUUAAGUCUGAUGUGAAAGCCUUCGGCUUAACCG